AUUUUCUGUCCAUCCUUAAAACUUGACUCGAGAGGAGGCCCCCUCUGAGAAGCUGCUUAGAAUUUUUGCCUAUCCCUCCACGAAUUCUUUGCACACGAUCAUCUUCGCUUCUUCCUUCGCAUAUUAUGCAUGUUUCUUUCAGUACACCUGCCAAAGCCAUGGCUAUAAUUUCCAUCUAGCACAGAGUAAGCUUCAAUUGCAGACAGUUAUUCAUGUUAUUGUUGUUAUUGUGCUACAGUCCCCAGUCUCUGAUGAAGCAGCUGGCGUAUACUUGGAAUUCGAGAAAUGUUUAUAUAAUGACUGAAUGCACUCAGGCUUUCAUUGGGAACUGUAUUCACCUUUGCUGCUGUCUGGGCCUGGAGGUCUGCAUCAUCUGCAGUCUUCCAGCUGGAUACCAAGAACUGCAAGCUAAUUUCCAGUUCCUGAGCGUGAAUUCACGGUGUUGAAGAUUUUAUUGUGUU
rnacentral:lncRNA from 1 species